rnacentral:rRNA from 1 species
UGCAUCGAUGAAGAACGCAGCGAAAUGCGAUACUUGGUGUGAAUUGCAGAAUCCCGUGAACCAUCGAGUCUUUGAACGCAAGUUGCGCCCGAAGCCAUUAGGCCGAGGGCACGUCUGGCUGGGUGUCACACAUCG